GGAAAAAUGAAUGGAAAAUGGAUGGGAAAAUGGAUGGAAAAAGAAGGGGAAAACGAAUGGGAAAAUGAAUGGAAAAAUGAAUGGAAAAAUAAGGGGGAAAUGGAUGAAAAAAAUAAGGGGAAAAUAAGGAAAAAUGGAUGUAAAAAUAAGGGGAAAAUGAAUGGGAAAAUGGAUGGAAAACUAAGGGGAAAAUAAGGAAAAAUGGAUGUUAAAAUAAGGGAAAAAUGAAUGGGAAAAUGGAUGGGAAAAUAAGGGGAAAAUGAAUGGAAAAAUAAGGGGAAAAUGGAUGGGGAAAUAGGGGGAAAAUGGAUGGAAAAAUAAGGAAAAAACAAGGGAAAAAUGGAUGGAAAACUAAGGGGACAAUGGAUGGAAAAAUAAGGGAGAAAUAAAUGGAAAAACAGGGGGAAAAUGAAUGGAAAAAUAAGGGGAAAAUGGAUGGAAAAAUAAGGGGAAAAUGAAUGGGAAAAUAGGGGGGAAANAUCUGGAUCUGAACCCCCUGAAAGGAGCAUCAUUCCAGAAGCAUCAGACCCUUUUUCCAUGGGGAAAUCCCAAUCCCAAAUCUGGAUCUGAACCCACUGAAAGGAGCUUCCCUACAGGGGGGAUCAGACCCUUUUUCCAUGGGGAAAUACCAAAUUCGAUCCCAAAUUCGGGUCUGAACCCCUUGGGAGGAGCAUCCUUACAGGGGGAUCAGACCCUUUUAACAUGGGGAAAUCCCAAUC
rnacentral:lncRNA from 1 species